GAGAACUCCAAGGGCAGGAGGUAACCAUUAAAGAGGACCAUCAUGUAGUGUGAGGAGUCAACAUUUCACACUAGAAAGCCCUUGGUUCAAGUUUUGUCUCUGCCACCUACAGAUUUUGUAACCCUGAGGAAACUAGCUACCUCUUUAUGUACUGCCCUAUGGAGAGGCACACAUGUCAAGAAACUGAGGGAGUGCCUUCCAGUCAACAGCCAGCCAGGAACUAAGGUGCUCAGUACAGCAGCCUCCACAAAGGACUGAACAAUGCCAACAGCUAUUUGACUGUGCUUGGAAGAUCUCCGUUUAGUUAACCCUUCAGAUGAGACCGCAGCCCUGGCCAGCAAACAAAUUGCAGCCUAUGGAAAGACCUUAAGGCAGAAGCACCCAACUGAACCACCCGAGGGCUCUGACUUACAGAAACUGUGAGCAUAUAGUGAAAUGGCCUCUACCUUAUUUUGAAUGGAUUUCUGGGAUAAAGUUCUUCAGUGAUAACAUGUUUGAAGCGGCUAUCUUAUGUGCCCAUGUUACAUGCUCAUGAUAAAGCUGCAUUUCCUGAGGGGACACCAAUGGAUACACCUCUGCCUGGCACGCAGCUUAGAGGCUAAAUGUAUGAAAAGCAACACCAUGCAAAUCAUUUUGAAACUGCUGUGGAACUCUCACGGGACCCUCCAUUCUAGACAUCCAGUCCCACUAGUGAUCUGACCAUGAAACCUACUAAGAGACUUCCAGAAGAAGAUGACCUCUGAAAGGAGAAAACUUUCUUCCAAGCUUCUGUGGAACAAGAAGAUGCCAUCCCUUUGGUGGAGCCCAAAGGGAAA
rnacentral:lncRNA from 10 species